GGAAUCUUCCACAAUGGACGAAAGUCUGAUGGAGCAACGCCGCGUGAGUGAAGAAGGGUUUCGGCUCGUAAAACUCUGUUGUUAAAGAAGAACAUAUCUGAGAGUAACUGUUCAGGUAUUGACGGUAUUUAGCCAGAAAGCCACGGCUAACUACGNGCCAG
rnacentral:rRNA from 1 species